GCAGUAGUAGCUCAACGGUUAAGGCUCUGGAUUAUUGAUCAGCGGGUUUUGGGUUCAAGCCCCACCACCAUCA